ensembl:lncRNA
CUGCAACUCCCCCUGGCUUCUGCUCCGCGGCUGCUGAGUGAGCCCUCAUCUGGGACUCUCCUCAGCUCUUACUGGGACAGUGGCGCGGCUGCCCCUCUGUUGGUCUUCCUUGGUCUCUUGUGUUCUGGGGGCCUCUGGAUGUCUGGAGUUUUGAUCUCCUCCAUACCUGCUUCAUACCCUGGAGGACGGGGCUGUGGCUCCCCCACACCCUCUAGCAGAUCAUUACAUGGAGAAACCUUUGGAAUGCAAGCAUGCUGAUCCACACAGGUAUACACACAGGUGUACACACGGGUAUUCACAGACGCGGACUACAGCUUUCUUGGCUGCUGCCUCAAAGCACAUUGUGCGCUGUCUAUCUUGUGUGCUGCACAAUAUCGUUUAUUACUUAGUAUCUACUGAUAUCUACUGCUAGCUAGUUUAUUGUGAUGGUGCCGUUUUUUGCUCUUUGUUGUUUGCUCUCUCUUCUGUUUUUUUUCUCCAUACAGGUGACCCAGGUGUUUUGUUUUUUUUGUUUUUUUGUUUUUUUUCUUUCUUUCCCCCCUUCUCACCGUCUCUUCUCCCCUUUGGUUUUCUUUCUCUCCCUCUCUUUCUUUCAUUCUUUCUCCCUGUCCUAUCCCCCAGUCAUGUCUGUCCCAUUUGUAGCAACUGAAAAUAAAAUAAAUUCAUAAUUAUAAUAAAGGUCAAUCAAAUGGACCAAUAUGGCAAGGCCAUGAUGAUCCACUUGGUGGAUCAUAAAUCCGCUUGGCAUCUUUCUUGGCCUUAAGACAACAAUUCUGAUGGCUAAAGAUCCAAACGGGACACAAAAAAAGAAAAAAAAGAUGUUAAAAUCACCCACAAUAAUUAUUUUAUCUGAGCUGAGAACUGAAUCAGAUAAAAAGUCUGAGAAAUCAGAGAGAAACUUUGUAAGGCCCAGGUGGACAAUAGAUGAUAACAAGUAAGACACACAUUGUUUUCUUUUUUUUUCUUUUCCUCUCAGUAAAAUCCCUCAGCACUGCUCUUCCUCUUCAGUGACUAUCUGUGUAGACGGGGAAAAAAAAAUAGGAGUCUGCUCAGGAACAGACAAAAAAUGUACUGAAAACAUUGGGCAGGGGUUUGUGAAAAAAAGGAGAAUCUAACACCAAAACAGAAAACCAGUCACACUAUCUUCUGGGGUCAAAAUAAUAUUGCACCACCUAACCAUGUGUGGCCUGGGGGGGGGGGGGGGGGGGGGGGCAGUCAUUAUAUUGGACAACGCUGAAAAAGUUGCUCAUCAGGAAAUACAGACAUACCUCAAGUAAAACAAGAAAAAAAUGUUUGAAAAGUUUCAACAAAAAGCAACUUGUUAUGCAUGGACUUUAUUUGCUGUCACAAAUCCAUUAAACACAAUACAG